AGUUGGUGAAGCGACUCAGACGCCUGCAGUGAAAUCUGUUCAUCUAGGAAACACAUUCACCAUGUCCUGUAAAAGCAGUCCUGACGUCUAUCAGAGUUGGGAUCAUCAACCUCUAUCCUGGUUCAGUGAUAAAGAGUCAAAAACCUCCGUCAGUCAGAGUCACAGUGAUUUGUGCUAGAAACACUGAAUAAGUUCAUUCACAAAUAUGAGGCUGCAGCAGAUGAGAAGAUUUGAAGUCAAUAACAUCAUUUUAGAGCUUCAGACGACUGAGAAUAUCGAGCACAGGAUGAGAUGAACGAGCUCCUCCUGAACCUUCAUUUAGAGCCUCAUUUAAAUACAGAAUGAGUUCAUUUGCAUAUUGAUCAGAUGCUUCAGUGCUCUGAGAGUGUUUAUAGUGCUGUGAGUUUAACACUUCAUCACUGACACACACAACAAUCUUCAUCAACAUGACCUUCAUCAUCAUCUUCAUCUGGACUCUCACAGCGUUUGCUCAAGAGUGUAGAGGACAGAUCACCGUCACUCAGAGUCCCUCAAUGACAGCAGCUCAACCAGAACAAACUGUGAACAUCAACUGUAAAACCAGCACAGAUGUGCAGAGAUGGCCUAGUGGAGAUGAAGGUUUAGCCUGGUACUUACAGAAACCUGGAGAAGCUCCUAAACUCCUGAUUUAUUAUGCAAACAACCUCCAGUCAGGAACUCCAUCUAGAUUCAGUGGCAGUGGAUCUAACAGUGAUUUCACUCUGACCAUCAGUGGAGUCCAGACUGAAGAUGCUGGACUUUAUUACUGUCAGAGUUUCCAUUGCAGAAGACGUUCUGAUGGUCAUUGUGUGGGUGACCAUGUGUUCACACAGUGA